CGUUUUAUGACUUUAUCUCAAUAUAAAUUAUGAUAAAUUAUUUAUAUCACUCAUUUGGUGUGAGGUGAGGGAUUAUGGUUGGAGAAGACCCAAAGCAAAGCGACCAAUUAAUGGGCAAAUUCCUGAAAACAAAUCCAAAAGGGCUAAAAAACGAUGGAACGCUGACAAAUAAUAUAAUACUUCUCCGCCUGUUUCCCGUCAUUCAUUAUUUCCCCUUGUCCUUCUGUCAGUGUUCAUAAAUUAGUUUCCAGAUUUGUCUCAAGUCUUCAUCCAUAGUGUUGUUAUGAAGAGAGGUUACUUAGAAUCUCCGUCUUCCAGUUCUUAUGGACCUCCUCAAUCCAAAUUUAAGCACAACCCACAAGGUAUUUUAUCAAUCUUCUUGCUCUUUUAUAAACUUUUCUUGAUUCAUUGUAAACCAUAUUAAUGAAAUCAGAUACUUUACUCAUAUUUUACCCAUCUUGGUAUCUAUGGAUAGAGCAUAUUUGUUUGUUUGUUGCAUUUAGCACCAUAAAGUUGCAAACUUUACUUUUUGUAUAAGCACAAGCACAACCCAGAAUUUAGUUUCCUCACAUUUUCUUUUAAGAAAAAUUUCUAUUGAUUAUUGAUAUUUCUUUGUUUAGAUAUGGGUAUGACAUAUUUGUUCUUUGUUGUAUUAGUACCCAUAAUGUUAAAGUCAGAGAUUAAUGUUAUUUUUAGGGCUCGUUUGUUAUGAGUGAUGAGGGAUAACUCAUCUUGGGAUUAAUUAGGAUGAGUUUACCCCAUGUUGUUUAGUAUGAAAUCGCGGGAUAACUUAUCCCGAGAUUGUAGUGUUAAUUUUUAUCCCACAUUGAGGGUGGGGUAACAAUCAUGGGCUUCCUGGAUAACUUGUUUCCCAACCAAAUGAGCUCUUAAAGCAUAACCUAGAAGAGAAGUUUCUCAUUUUUUUCUUUAACAGAAACCACAUUUAAUUUUAUCACGUCGCUGUAUAGACAUAGAUAUAACAUAUUUAUUAAUUUAUUAAUUGUUGCAUUAGUAAUAAGAAGGAUACUUUUAUUUUAGCUGCUUAAGUAUUUUGCUACAAUUAUUGUUGUGAGUAAUAAUGGAGAAAAAUAUUAUUUGAAUUGUAUGUAAAUUAUUACAUUGAGAUCCUAUUUGUAGACACUAGCCUUUUCAAAGUAGGAUUUUGUAUACUAUUCCUAUUCCUACUCAUAUUCUAACACUCCCCCUCAAGAUGGUACAUACAAGUCAUAUGUACCUAGCUUGUUACAAAUGUAAUUAAUACAAGGACUAGUUAGCGACUUGGUGAAGAUAUCUGGAAGUUGAUCGCUUGACUUUACAAAUUUUGUAACAAUAUCUCCGGAGAGUAUCUUUUCUCUGACAAAGUGAUAAUUGAUCUCUAUGUGCUUAGUUCUCUCAUGAAACACUGGACUAGAUGCAAUAUGAAGGGCUGCUUGAUUAUCAUAUACGAGUUCCAUCUUACCGGUUUCUCUAAAUUUUAGUUCUCUUAGCAAUUGUUUGAUCCAAACUAGCUCACAAGUUGUUGUAGCCAUUACUCGAUAUUUUGCUUCGGCACUAGAUCGAGCAGCCACACUCUGUUUCUUACUAUUCCAGGGCACCAAAUUACUUCCUACUAAAACACAAUAUCCGGAUGUAAAACGUCUAUCAGAGGGUGAUCUUGCCCAAUCAGCAUUUGUAUAUCUAAUGAUAUGCUCAUGGCAUCGAUCCUCAAAGAGUAGUCCUUUACCUGGAGAUGACUUUAUAUAUCGCAAAAUACGAACAACUGCGUCCCAAUGACUAUUACAGAGGGAAUUCAUAAACUGACUUACAAUGCUCACAGGAAAAGAGAUGUCAGGUCUAGUCACUGUGAGAUAAUUCAACUUUCCAACCAACCAUUUACUGAGUGGCUCCCCGUCCCUAUAGAAGUUUAACAUUUGGAUCCAUGGGAGUGUCAAUGGGUUUACAUCCCAUCAUUCCCGUCUCAAGAAUAUUUAAGGCAUACUUACGUUGAGAAAUAACGAUACCUGAUCUGGACUGAGCAACCUCAAUACCUAGAAAGUAUUUCAGUUUGCUGAGAUCUUUAGUCUGGAAAUGCUGUAAGAGAUGAUGCUUCAAAUUAGUGAUACCAUCUUGAUCAUUGCUGGUAAUAACGAUAUCGUCAAUAUAAACGACUAAAUAAAUACACAAAUUUGAUUUAGAAUGGCGACAGAAUACUGAAUGAUCAACUUCACUACGAAUCAUGCCAAACUCCUGAAUUACCGUGCUAAACUUCUCAAACCAGGUUCGAAGGGACUGUUUCAAACCAGAAAGUGACCUGCGCAAUCGACAUACAAGGUUACUAGACUCCCCCUGAGCAACAAAACCAAGUGGUUGCUCCAUAUAGACUUCCUUCUCAAGAUCACCGUGUAGAAAAUCAUUCUUAAUGUCUAACUGAUAAAGGAGCUAAUGACGAAUGGCAGCCAUAGAAAAAGACAGACAAAUGCUACUUUAGCCACGGGAGAGAAAGUGUCACUAUAAUCAAGCCCAGUGUUGUAAAAGGCGAGCGCCUCAUCGCUAAUGGAGAAUGGCGAGGCGAGGCGAGCCUAUGUCGCCUCUUUGGUCCAUGGCGUGGCGAAAAUGAAAAGGCGACGCCUUUGUGAGAAAGGCGAUGAGGCGAGGCGGCGAGAAAGGCGACACCUUUUAAUUGUUUUUUAAAAAAUUAGGGUUUAGGUAUAUAAGCUAUUUUUAGGGUUUAUUUACACAUUUUAACACUACCAACUUACUCACUGGUACCUGUGGCUACUACCCUUCAACUUACAACUUUGAUUUCGGCGACCGGAGACAUACUCCGGCGACCUCCGCUACUCCGGUAAUCAUUGAUUUCUAUUUUUUUCUUCUUCUUUCUUUUUCUUCUUAAUCACUGGAUUGGACUUGGUAUUUUGGUGCUGCUUUUUUUUCUUCCUCUUUGUAUCUUCUUCUUCUAUUCCGGCAGGCUGUCACUGUAUCAGUGACUGUAACAGUGAACUUAUUGUUACAGUAAUAACCAGUCAACCAGUGGCCACUGUUUUAUGUAUUUUUUUUAAUAACUUAUGUAGAAUUAAAAUAGCACGAUGGUAAUAUACUAAUUAAAUUAUUUGAUCAUUAACAACUUUCAAUUUCAAUGGCGUCUCACUCUCAAUCUACUAGUAGCAAACAAAAGGAUAUAGGAUGGAAUUAUGGUAUAUAAGGACCGACAAAAGAUGCGGUGAUUUGUAAUUUUUGUCGACGUACCAUAAAUAGCGGCAUUACUCGAUUCAAACAACACUUGAUAGGUGGAGACAAAAAUGUGAGGAUAUGUCAAUCUUGUCCGGCAAACAUUAGGGAUGAAGUAAAGGAAUUUGUUGAUAGCAAAACCGCAACAAAUCCAAAGAAUCAAUGAAUUAUGCCAUCAUAUAAUAUCAUUGAUGAUGAUGAUGAUAUGAAUGAACUUAAGGAAAUGAUGCCUCCCUCCAAAUAUCAAAAAAUGUCUUCAAGUGGUGGUAGUGUAUCAUCCUCGGCAUGUUUGACGAAAGGUCCUCUAGAUAAGUUUUAUCCACAAAAGCCACAACAUAACACCGGCUUUGAAAAGGUGGGAGUAGGAGGAGGACGAGGAAUUAAUGACACAAAAAAUCUUGAGGGAGCGAGCGGUAAAUGCUUUCGCGGAAUGGAUGUAUGAUGCGGUCCUCCCAUUUAAUUGUGUUAAUUAUGAUUCAUUCACUACCUUCAUAGAAGCGGUAGGACAACAUGGCCCGAGAAUGGAGCCACCUACCUAUCAUGAAGUUAGAGUUUCUCAAUUAAAGAAGGAAGUAAAGAAAGUUGAUGAACUUGUUGAGAAGCACAAGGUGCAAUGGCAAAAGUAUGGUUGUUCCAUCAUGAUGGAUAAAUGGACAGCUCGUAAUGGAAAAAUGAUUAUUAAUAUUUUGGUCAAUUGUCCGAUAGGGAGCAUCUUUCUUGGUUCUGUCGAUGCUAGCAAUGAGUCCACCACUAGCGCUAAGAUGUACAGCUUGUUUGAGAAGACAAUUGAGGAUAUUGGAUCGAAAAAUAUUGUACAAGUUGUAACGGAUAAUGCUAGCGAGAAUGUAAAAGCGGGGGAUCUUAUGAGGGCUGUGUACCCACAUAUAUAUUGGACUCCAUGUGCUGCCCAUUGCAUCAAUUUGAUGUUGCAAGACAUAUUCAAGAUUAAUCCAUAUGCCUCAGUUUUUAAGAAGGCCACAAAGGUGGUUUCUUACAUAAGUCAAAGGCCGUUGUUGUUGAACUUGAUGAGAAAAUUCACCAAUGAGAAAAAUUUGGUGAAACCGGCCAAGACAAGAUUCGCAACGACCUUUUUGACUUCGGAGGCGAUGUACAAACAAAGGAAGAAUUUGAGAACCUUGAUCAUCUCCAAUGAAUGGAGUAUUAGUAAGUUUGCAAAGGAAGUUUUGUGGAAAAAAGUUUUCGCCAUUCUUUAUUCUGCAUACUUUUGGAAUGAUGUAGUCAAGGCUCUUAAAGUUCGUGGUCCUUUGGUCUCGUUCCUUCGCUUGGUGGAUGGGGAAAAAGGACCCCCAAAGGCUAUAUGCUUGAAGCAAUGGAUAAAGCGAAGGAAACUAUUCAACGGGGGUUUGAUGGAGUUUCGAGGCAUUAUGAGAAAGUCCUCGAAAUAAUUGAUUCAAGGUGGACUGACCAACACAAGCGACCGUUGCACUCCGUCGGGUAUAUUUUGAAUCCGGGAUUGUACUUUAAAUCAACGAUGAGUGAGGAGAAAACUGCUAAAGUGUGGGAGAGUUACUACACUUGUGUUGAGCCGAUGGUCCCCGAUCUUUCCACACAAGAUUUACUACUUGUUGAGCUUGCUAAGUACAAGAGUGCGGAUGGAUUGUUUGGUUCUAGUCAAGCUGUUAGAGCCAGAGACACGAGGUCACCGGGUUAGUGAAUUGGUUUAGUUAUCUUUAUUUUAAAGCACCGUAAGUUAUUGACUUUUUUAUACUUAUUAACCUUCAAUUUUUUUCUAUAGUUGAGUGGUCCCUAUUUGGGAGCGGAACUCCAAAUUUGCAACGGAACUGGAGUGUCUUCGAACAUAUUCAUUCCAAGAAGAAAAAUAAGCUUGAGUUAUCGCGUCUCAAUGAUCUAGUGUACGUUAAGUACAAUAGAACAUUGGCACGUCACUAUGAUAUUUGCGAUACCAUCGAUCCUAUUAUGUUGGACAAUAUUGAAGAUGCGAAUGAAUGGUUACUUGUUGGCCCCGAAGAUUAAGCAGAUGAACUAGUGUUUGAGGAAGGUGAUCUUAAUUGGGGUACUGUUGCUAUGACAGCUGGGGCUGAUGAUGAUAUUGUCUAUGGUCUUAGGAGAAAGUCAAGGUCAAGGUCACUUGACAAGGGAAAAGCGACAAGUUCAAGUCAGACUCGGGCCCUAGUUGAUGAAGAA